rnacentral:rRNA from 1 species
UACGUAGGGGGCUAGCGUUGUCCGGAAUCAUUGGGCGUAAAGAGCGUGUAGGCGGCUCGGUAAGUCCGCUGUGAAAGUCCAGGGCUCAACCCUGGAAUGCCGGUGGAAACUGUCGGGCUAGAGUCCGGAAGAGGCGAGUGGAAUUCCUGGUGUAGCGGUGAAAUGCGCAGAUAUCAGGAGGAACACCAAUGGCGAAGGCAGCUCGCUGGGACGGUACUGACGCUGAGACGCGAAAGCGUGGGGAGCGAACAGG